rnacentral:tRNA from 1 species
GCGUGCGUAACUCAAUUGGUAGAGUGUCGUCCUUCCAAGUCGGAAGUUGCAGGUUCGAGUCCUGUCGCCCGCACCA